CCAAACAAGACUGAACCCAUUACCCCUUCUUCUUUAAACCUAGCCCUAGAAAGACCUUAUUCUUCUUCCUUAGAAAAGAAAAAAAAACCUAGGACACAAGACUAAAAAUCCAUGGCAGCUUUCUUCUUCAACAAGACACCACCCAAAAACCUAGCUGAACCCAAGCACCCUUAGAGACCCCAGCCGCCGGCCAUCUCCCAACCCAAACUCGCCGGACCUUCUUUUUCAACAAGAAGACAACACAAGACUAUAGACCCAUGGCUGCCUUCCUCGUCUUCCUCAGCUUAACGGCCAAACGAUCCCACCCUCACACCCUUCUGCCGCUACCCCAAAAAUCAACCAGCCGCAGUCUCCUUCAACGACAAACCAGCCACGCAACCACCCUUCACCGCCAUAAAAAACAGCUGCCGCACCAUCCCUUAUUCUCUAACCAGCCAUUUCCAGCCUCACGUACUUUGAUGGAACUCGAUGAGAUGCGGCCAAGAUCGAGUUCGAGUUUGCUGACGAGUCUCCUCCGGUCAAAGGUUCCUGUUUGGUUGAGUUAGAUUGUUGUCCAUUCUCGGAGGAAUUUAUUUUUUAAAUAUGAAAGCUCGAUUAAAGGUGUGGAUCUACGUACCAGGACUCGAGCAUGACAGAUACCCCAGGACAAUUGCGUCCAGGAGUUACUUGAUGAGACUUUUUAUAUUUUGAGCCUGUUUUAAGUCUCUUAGGUGGUUUAAGAGUUUGUCGAGUCUUUCAUUAUUGUACUUUCUGUUUUGUAUUUGAAAGACCAAAAAAUAUAAAUGAAAAAUUCAAAAAGAUUUUUGUUUCUUAA